UACGUAGGGGGCUAGCGUUGUCCGGAUUUAUUGGGCGUAAAGGGCGCGUAGGUGGCCUUCUAAGUUGAACGUGAAAUCCCUGGGCUCAACCCAGGAACUGCGUCCAAGACUGGGAGGCUUGAAUCCGGGAGAGGGAUGCGGAAUUCCAGGUGUAGCGGUGAAAUGCGUAGAUAUCUGGAGGAACACCGGUGGCGAAGGCGGCAUCCUGGACCGGUAUUGACACUGAGGCGCGAAAGCCAGGGGAGCAAACGGG
rnacentral:rRNA from 1 species